rnacentral:rRNA from 1 species
UGGCGGACGGGUGAGUAACGCGUGGGUAACCUGCCCCAUACAGGAGGAUAACAGUUAGAAAUGACUGCUAAUACCGCAUAAGACCACAGCACCGCAUGGUGCAGGGGUAAAAACUCCGGUGGUAUGGGAUGGACCCGCGUCUGAUUAGCUAGUUGGCGGGGUAACGGCCUACCAAGGCGACGAUCAGUAGCCGACCUGAGAGGGUGACCGGCCACAUUGGGACUGAGACACGGCCCAAACUCCUACGGGAGGCAGCAUG